UUGUCCGGAAUUAUUGGGCGUAAAGAGCUCGUAGGCGGUGUGUCGCGUCGGCCGUGAAAACCUGCAGCUUAACUGUGGGCUUGCGGUCGAUACGGGCAUCACUGGAGUUCGGCAGGGGAGACUGGAAUUCCUGGUGUAGCGGUGAAAUGCGCAGAUAUCGGGAGGAACACCAGUGGCGAAGGCGACUACCUGGCCUGUUCGUGACGCUGAGGCGCGAAAGCUAGGGGAGCAAACGGG
rnacentral:rRNA from 1 species